UAUAACAUGCCUCAGAAACAAAAAGCCAAAGAAAACAGACAAAUGGAAAUGAAAUGAGUAGAUAUUAUUUAUGAAAUGUCUUACAACGCGAAUUAAGCACCGGUGAAGCUUGGUGGUUUGUAGGCGAUGAAACUGAUGCACUGGACUUGACGGUUGUUGUCGAAUCCAAUGAUCCUGAUGAAGGCGUUAGGGUACUCCGUUUUGCACUCUUGGACUUCCUUCAACACUUGAGCAGAGUCGGUGCAUCCGAACAAGGGAAGCUUCCACAUUGUCCAGUAACGGCCAUCGUAGUAUCCGGGGGUGCUUCCGUGCUCACGGUACACAAAUCCAUGCUACACACACAUGAGAAUUCCAAUCAAAAUCAGGAUUGAGAUUAUGUGAUAAAAGAUGUUUAGAUCCAAAAAAAACUUCUAUUUUUAUUACCUCCAACUCGAAUUCAACACAAGGAAUCCACUUGUUGCGGAGAAGGUAGUCGACUUCCUUACCCAAUUCAACUUCGGUAAGGUCAGGAAGGUAAGAGAGGGUCUCAAACUUCUUCUUUCCAACUGGUGGCCACACCUACGAAACGUAUUUCCAAUUAAUGAAUAUUAGUUCACUUUUGUAUAUACUGUUUAACGAUUCUAGGUAUCUAAAUGUACUUUUGAAUAGGAUUCUGUUCGAAUCUACCAGUUGCGUGUAAUAAAAGACAAGCCUAGCUCUAGACUCUCUAGUGACAUUUACCUUCAUGCAGCUAACUCUUCCUCCGUUGCUAACGAUGGAGGUAAUGUCAUUGUUGGCCUUGCGGGUGACUGGGAAUGCAGAGGAAGACUUCAAGCCGGUGAAUGGAGCGACCAUGGUGGCUUGAGCCGGUGAGGUAACCACAGCUGCGGAGGAGAGCAUAGAGGAAGCCAUUACUACUUCUUCUUCUUCUUCUUUUUUCUUAACUUACUUGUCUGUCUAUUGCUUCGGUUAUCUAUAUAUAGUGAGAAGCGCAAGAGGUAUAAAGCCCUAAUGAUCGAAGGAUCAAAAUUUCAUGAUAUCGUCGUUAACUGCCACAGGAUUAAAGAAAGGUGUAGAAAUAACAUUAUCUUAUCUUAUCUUGUAAGAAAACGUAUGAAUGUGUAUGGUUACUCGUCUCAACUUGAGCCAAUGCUUUUGGCUCCUUCCUAUUAAGAGAGGACAAUUCUGACGCAUGAUCUACAUUUCAAUGUUCGCGGACCUUCUAUUUAUAUGAAUUAGUUUCGCUUAAUUUGAUUAGGUUCAUUAUUAAAUUCACAAUUGAAAUUACUAUACGAAAUGUACUUGAAUUAUACAUGUAUGUCGUACUAAUUAACUUAUGAGUAAUGAGACUACUGUAAUGGUCAUGUCCAUAUUCAAACGAACAAAAACAAAAGAAUAGUGGGUCCGAUUGGUAAGUUAAAAGUAAAACCGUAUAAAAACUGUUACUUUUUUUUUUUGACACGAAAAACAAACUGUUACUUAAUAGUUAAAAACUAUAAACUAAAUCAAUAAAAGUGGUACCAAAACACUAAAUGUAACGUUUUUAGGUAAUGCUUUGUGCAUCUCUCUGUGAUGGGUAACUUCCUGCGGAUUCAGGUAGUUCGGUUCGACUAAAAUCUUGUUGAACAUAAAAAAAAUUCAGUUCAGUUUGGUAUUUGGGUAGUUUGGUUUUUAAAAUUUUACCGAAACUAACUAAAGUUUUUGGUUCUGAUUAUAUUUCGGUUAAAAAUUUGGGUAAAAUUGGUUAAUUCGGUUAAUUCUGUUAGUUUGGUUAAUUCGGUCCAAUGUUUUGGUUUGGUUAAUUCUGUUAGUUCGGUUCAAAAUUUUGAGUAAUUUUAGGUAGCUUGGUUACUUCGAUUCAAAAUUUUGGUUAGCUAGGUUAGUUCGGAUUGAAAUUUGGGAACAAAAUUUUUUUUGAAACCGAUUACCGAACAGAACGAGCCAAAAACCAUUUUCUUAUAAACAGGCUGAACCAAACAUGCUGAACAGAACCGAACUUCUCAAUUAAAUGAAAUUUCGGAUGCCUUAAUCGGAAUGAUACAAGAUUACCAAUUAUAUUUAGCUCUGGUCAGAUAGUGUUGUAUUUUUUAUGAUUUUUUUAAUGAAUGUAAAAGUUAUUAAUCCAAAAAAUCAUCCUUACAUUGAAAGCAAUGUUUUAUAAGAUUAAGUUUCGGUUAAAUGUAAGAUUAGUUUUUAGAUUUUUGAGUUACUUUUUGAUGUAUAAUGUAUUACAUUUGAGUUACAAUUUUGAGGGAUUCCUUUGGUAAAAUUGACAAAUCAAGUGGUAAUUCAACAUCAAGAAAAAUACGAUGUGUUAAGAUUUGAGUUAGUAUGUUUUUUUGUUUUUCAACUAAAACCCUACGUUCAUUUUUGGCUAUAUUAAACAUUUUGUUUUCUAAAUUAAUUUAAUAGUUAUAUAUGUUUACACUCGCCGGAUGAGAGAGAGAGAGAGAGAGAGAGAGAGAGAGAGAGAGAGAGAAGGAAGUAGUUGAUAUAUAUAUAUGUAUCUUAUUUUCAAUGUCUACCAGUAGUGUGUACAAAAGAUCUCAUAAAGUCCACGUAAGAAGUGUAAACUAUCAAAUGAUGACCAUUUUAUGAAUGAAUUUAAUCUAUAUUAAAUAUACAUAAACCCGUAUAUGAUACUAUUGUGAAUGUGAUGAUAAAAAGAUAAAAUGAUCGUUAUUUGAAUCUUUGAUGACCUAACUAACUUCAUCUGGAGAGAGAGAGAGAGAGAGAGAGAGAUGAGGGAGAGAAGAAGGCAAAUAUGUUUUUAUAUAAAACUUUUAUGACGGAAAAGGGUCGUUAGAAUUCCGUCGAAAUAUUUUGGUAUUUGGCAGUUCACAAAAAUUUUGGUUGUUCCUUUUCCCAAGUACAUUAAAAUUCCGAUGAAAUUACGAUGACCUUAUAUUUUUCGUCGAACUUUGUGUUAAUUGGUCAACUGACCAAGUCGGAAACAAGAAUAUGCUAUAUUCGUCAGAAGUUUUUCAGAAAAAUACUUUCAAAAUUCUGACGAAUAUAGAAUAUUCUCUGCAUGCUUUUCAAUUGGUUGAAAAAUAGAUCCAUCAGAAUUUUGUCGGUAUAUUCCAAUUAAAAAGAGGGUUGGGGUUUCAAAACAAUUGAAAUUUGACCCACAAUAAACUUUAUAACUUUUUGAUAACUUAGAAGGAGUUAUCUGCAUGUUUAAGUAUAUAAGUGUUUAUACGAGAUCAUAUUACAAAUAAUUGAUAUUGUAAGUUGGAUUCUCGAAAUAUGUUUUUUAAGUAUAUAAAUGCUUAUGAGAGAUAAUACAUAUCCGCGGAUAUAUUUGUAGAGGAUUUUAUAACUUGUAAAAAUGGAAUGCUUUUUAACUCACAUCCUAUUAUACACUUAAUAUGUGUUUUUUUGACCUCAUAGGUAUCCGGUUUUACAUUAAUAUUAACUAAAUCAUAUCGGAAACAUUUAUUCGCUGGAAUUCCAUCGGAAUAUUCCGACAAAAUUCCGACGACAUUGGUAUAUUCCGUUGGUAUAAUUCCGAUGGAAAUGAAACCCCAUACCGAAACACCAAAAUAAGUGUUUUCGUUGGAAUUUCGUUUGAAUAUACCGACAGAAUACCGACGAAAUAAAGAAAUUUUUGAAUAUUAAAUAAUUUUGGAAUACAUUGUAAAUUUCUUAAGGCCAACAACCAAAAAAAUACAAAUAUUUUAUUCAACUCCAACAACCAAUACAUAAAAAAACUACACAAUUGAAAGUUAAAUAUAUGAUUACAGAUUUUCUAAAUAUGUUAAUCUACCCAUAAUCCGAAGAAUAAUCAGACGGACAUGAAUCCGAAUCUUCGUCAAACUCUCCAACCUCAGCAUCUGACUUGAAGUGUACAACAGCAUCAUUUCCAAACUCGGUAAAAUCGCAACAAGUUAAAAAUUUCUAAUCUUCAACUAGACUUACGCUGAUUCUAGAGUUUGGUUGCAAUGUGUCAUGAUCAGAACUUCCAAAUAUAAUCUUGAUUAUUGAAGUUUUGAACACUUAUGGUAUUCUUUGUUUUAUCCUAGAGUUUGAAACUGAAUACAACAUAGAGUAAGGAGUGAACUCUGGACGAGUGGCUGACUCAUUUGGUGCUAAAAAGACAAUAUUUCAAGUACUUUGAUAGUUUGUGUUCUUCUUGUUUAAGUCUUCAAGUAUUUUCUGUUUCUGGUGUGAUUUGAAAACUUUGUUUCAUGGAGCUAUGUUUGUUUCAUUUUCUGUGUUGGAAAAUUAUGUUUUAUUUCCUGGCUUGUUUUGCUUUGACAUUUUGAUUAAUGAGUCUGGUUUCAUUUAACAUUUCAUUUUCUAGAGUUUUUUUAUUUUAUUUUGGUUAAUCAGAUGUCGUUUGGGUAACAAGUCUAGUUUCAGUUUUUAGUUAAAUAGGGUAAUAUUUAACCGAACCAAAUUUUACCCAUUUUUGGGUUAUAUAUGGUUAGUUUCAUCAAAAAAUUUAACCGAUCCGAAACUGAACAAUACAUCGACCAAACACUAUUUGGAUACAUUUUUCAAAUAACCAAACUACUCAGAACCAACCUGAUUACCCAAAAUGUCAGGCCUAUCAGAAACAUGUUUUGAUACCAAUUGAAAGUGUGAAUGAGGCUAGAGUAAAGUGCCGAAAACAUUAUUUUCCAGUUUACUAGAAUAAAAACAAAUACAACUAAUUUGUAAACCCGUAAAUCAAGUACAAUCCUCCUAAAAUGCCGUUGUUUUCUAUUGCAAGAACUCAUUAGGGUAACCUAAUUGUAAUCUAAAAAUCCCCAAGAGCCUAGAAUUCAAUUCUAGAAUUCUCUCAAAGUUUGUUAACACCUAGCGGACAGCAAUGACACCAAACGCUUGAUCACACAAGCACACAAAUCUCUAUCGGUUUUCUUAUUCUCCAAAGUCCAUUAUUCUUUAUAAGGCUCAUGCUCCUUGUAUAGAAUACCUAAACCUGCAUCACAAGUUCUUCCCAGAAAAUUUUCCUUAUUUUUAAAUUAUAUUUCUUUUUUCCUUUUUUUUCCUGCAAACAAACUUCUAUUUUACUUAAAGUAAAUAUUCAGUUGUUAAAAGGUCUUGUUUAUGUAGAUGUUCUAGUUCACAUUUGCAACGCAGCAAUGUUUUACUUAACUACAAUUAAGAAUUAAGAAAUAUAUAUAUAUGUGUGUAUCUCUUAUAUAUUAAAAGAAAAACAUUACAACAUUUGAGGUAUACACAUAUCAUCACCAUAAUAAGUUUCAGAAUCCUAAAAAAACAGAUUGGUUCAUCUAAAUAUAUAAUAAGUUUUUUAUUAAAUUAAUCAUAAUUCAUCAUUAAUAUUCAUCAUUCUUUCCUUAAAUAAAAAUUACAAAAUUUUCUAAUGUGGCUAAAGUAUAUAUGAAAAUUAAUAAUACAGAUUUAAUAAAAAUCAUUGUAUCAUCUAUCAUAUUUGUUUAAUUUCAAAUUAUUAAAAUAAAUUAAACGACCACAUUAACCAUAUAAUAAAAAUUUAGAUUUUUCUGUAUAUGUUAUAUAUUUUUUUUAAAACGACCAUCAAUUAUUAAAACUGUCAAAACUCUCACAUUCAAAUUAUUGUGAUCCAUUGUUUAAGAUUUUUCCUAUGAUAAGAUACAAAUGCUUACAAAAUAAUUUAAUUAAAAAAUCUGAUUUAAUAAAUAUUAAGAUUAAAAAAUAUAUAUAUUAAUAUCUUUUAAAUUAAACUAUAUAACAUAUAGAAUACAUAAAUAUUUUAAUUUUGAAAUUUGUUUUGAAUUUUUUUUUCUUGAUAAAUAUUUGAACAACUAUUGACAAAUUAAUAUUUAAACUUAAAAUAUUUCAUUGAUUUUUUUAAAAAAUAUAUAAAUUAAUAAAAUUAUUAAUUUCAGAGUGAAAAUUUUGUUAUCAACGAUUUAAAGUUUUUGGUUAUAAAAAUAUACAAAUGAUCAAAAAACCUUAUGAGUAAAAACAUCAUUUAAUAGAUAUCAAUAUUAAAAAUAAAUUAUAUAUAUAUAUAUAUAUAUGUUAUUAUCAUUUUUUUUGGACAUUGAUACUGGUGAAAAAAAGGGCAGAGCGAGUGAAAAAAAAAAGCAGAGUCGUCGUCUUUUCACCUUCUCCGGCCGCGGCCUCUCGCCGUUGGUUCCGUGAGAAGGUGGUUGCAUGUUUCUUCUAGUUUUAUUCUCUUUUUAGUUUUCGAUGGUCUCAAAUCUGAAUAGAAGCUUCAUGUCUUCGGAUUGAAGUGAAGAGAUUCAGAUCUGGACGCAACAGACAUCGAUCUUGUCAGAUCUAUGGCCUGUGGUGGUUGGCUAGUGGUUACCGGCUGUAUGGAGAAGAAUCGUGUUAAGUAAGGCUUGGGUGGCCUUGCUGUGGUGUGGAGGCGCGUAGAAGGCGCGUGCUGAGCCCUUUCAAAGUCCAGUGGCGAGUUUAAGUUGGAAUUGGAGGAGGUCAGUGGAGUACAGGCGUAGAGGAGGAGGAGGAGGCGCAGUCUACAGCAACGGUUAUCUAUUAGCUAACAGUCCGGUUUGUUUCUUGUAUGAAUGGGUUUGAGUCUCGUCUAGAUGUUUGUAGUCAUCUGCCUUUAUGGUCUGUGUCUUCUAGUUUAUGUGUUGUUUUCUAUAUUUUAAUCUUUGGCUCCAGAUAGUAUUGUUUACUAUGCUGGCUACUGGCUCCGGAAGAAUCUUUGUCUUGCCGGCUUAAUGUAACCUUUGUUCAAGUUUCAAUAUUAAUCCAACAGAUGACAAAAAAAAAUGUUAUUAUCAUUUAAAAAUUGAAUUAUAUAUCAUAUAAAAUAGAAAGUGAUUGUUUUGGUUAAUAUAAUUUAUUAUACCAGUUUAAUUAUAUACAUAAUAGUUAAUGAAUUUUUAUUUAUUCUUUAUUAUUUCUUAAAAGGUAAAAGAACAUAUAAUACAUAAUAUAUAUAUUAUAAUGUUCAUCUUCCGCAAGGCGCAGAUUUUCACUUAGUAUUUGUUAAAUAUUAUGAUAAAUUCUUAUCCACAUGCCCUAUCUUAUGUAUGCACACCGUCCACAAAUGUGUCCAUCAAAGAUUUCAAGUGGACCAUCCUUUCCCCCAGUGGUUAACAAUGUGUGUGGGUAUUAUAGAAAAGUAGAAAAUUUAUUAUCUUUUUCCUUCAAAAGAAUUAACAAAAAUAAGAACAAAGAUAUCUAGGAAGUAGUUUAUAUAUAUAUAUAAUACAUGUAUCUUAUUUUCAAUGUACCAGUAGUGUGUACAAAAGAUCUCAUAAAGUCCACGUAAUAAGUGUUAAAUAUCAAAUGAUGACUAUUUUAUGAAUGAAUUGUAAUCUAUAUUAAAUAUACAUAAACCCGUAUAUGAUACUAUUGUGAAUGUGACGAUAAAAAGAUAAAAUGAUUGUUAUUUGAAUCUUUGAUGACCUAACUAACUUCAUCUGAAAUUAUAUUCCUAGGUACUGCUGUUUUCCUAUUCUACAAAAUAUACCACUAACAUUAUCUAACCUGUUUUGUUAAGUUAUUUUGACUGUUUUCCUAUCCCAAUAAGAGUUGAAAACCUAAUAGCCAUCGGAAAGUAACCAAGACGAAGAAGCAAUAUAGAGAUUACAUGUUCACAAUCACACAUUUGACAAUCCGAUAUAGAAUGUCUGAGAAACAGAAAACCAAAGGGAAAAGAAACAGACAAUUCGAAAUGAAAUGAGCAGAGAUUAUUAUGUGAAUGUCAUAGCAAAUUAAGCACCGGUGAAGCUUGGUGGUUUGUAGGCGAUGAAACUGAUGCACUGAACUUGACGGUUGUUGUCAAAUCCGAUGAUCCUGAUGAAAGCGUUAGGGUACUCCGUUUUGCAUUCUUGGACUUCCUUCAACACUUGAGCAGAGUCAGUGCAUCCGAACAAGGGAAGCUUCCACAUUGUCCAGUAACGUCCAUCAUAGUAUCCGGGUGUGCUUCCGUGCUCACGGUACACAAAUCCAUGCUAUACAAACAUGAGAGUACCAUUCAUAAUAAGAAUUCACAUGGUCUAAUAAAGGAUGUUUAGAUCCAAAAAUUAUUUUUUCUUUAUUACCUCCAACUCGAAUUCAACACAAGGAAUCCACUUGUUGCGGAGAAGGUAGUCGACUUCCUUACCCAAUUCAACUUCGGUAAGGUCAGGAAGGUAAGAGAGGGUCUCAAACUUCUUCUUUCCAACUGGUGGCCACACCUACAAAUUAAAUCACAUUUCCAGUUGGUGAAUACUAAGUCACGUUUGUAUAUAUUGUUUUGGACAUUAAUUGAUCCUAGGUACGUUAUAUACAGUUUUCAAUGGGAUUCAUGUUCGAAUGCACCAGUUACGUGUAAUAAAGGACAGGCCUGCAAUUAUUCUAGAUGGCCACACCUACAAAUUAAAUCACAUUUCCAGUUGGUGAAUACUAAGUCAAGUUUGUAUAUAUUGUUUUGGACAUUUAUUGAUCCAAGGUACGUUAUAUACAUUUUUCAAUGGGAUUCAUGUUCGAAUGCACCAGUUGCGUGUAAUAAAGGACAUGCCUGCAAUUAUUCUAGUGAUAUUUACCUUCAUGCAGCUAACUCUUCCUCCGUUGCUUGCAAUGGAAGUAAUGUCGUUGUUUGCUUUGCGGGUGACUGGGAAUGCAGCGGAUGACUUCAAGCCGGUGAAUGGAGCGACCAUGGUGGCUUGAGCCGGUGAGGUAACCACAGCAGCGGAGGAAAGCAUAGAGGAAGCCAUUACUACUUCUUCUUCUUCUUCUUUUCUCUUAACUUACUUGUUUGUCUAUCGCUUUGGUUAUCUAUAUAUAACGAGAACCGCAAGAGGAAAAGGCCCUAAUAACCAGAGGGUCCAGAUUUCAUGAUAACGUCGUUAACUGCCACAUGAUUAAAGAAAGGUGUUGAGACCCUUAUCGAUACUGACCACUAUGUUAAGGCCACGUGGCAGAAAUGCUAUUAUCUUAUCUUGCAUUAAAAUGUAUGAAUGUGUAUAUAUGGUUACUGAUUUACUGCUGGCCUCCACUUGUUUAUGAGUAUAAAUUACUAAAACUGUUAAAAGUUUCACAUUCAAAUUUUGUGAUCUAUGAUUUAAAACUUUUGUUAUGACAAUGAUACAAAUAAUUAAAAAUAAUAUAAGUUGAAAGUCUCAUUUAAUAAGUAUCAAAAAUAAAAGAUAUAUAAAUAUAUGUAUCAUUUUAAAUUAAACUAUAUGCCACAUAUAAAAAUACAUAAAUAUUUUAAUUUUGAAAUUUACUUUGAACAUUUUUUUGAUAAAAAAUUGAAAAACUAUUGACAACUUAAUUUUUUAAAAUAUUAUAAAUUACUUAAACCAUUAAUCCCACAGUGAAAAUUUUGUUAUCACUAAUUUAGACUUUUUUCUAUAACAUAUACAAAUGAUAGAAAAAAAUUGAGCAAAAAGCAUCAUUAAUAAAUAUUAAUAUUAAAAUAUACCAUAUAUAUGUUACUAUCAUUUAAAUUUAAAUAUAUCAUAUCAAAUAGAAAAAAUAUUUUUUCGAUUUAUAAAAUUUAUUUAUAUGUUCACACCAAUUUAAUUAUAUAAGUAGUAGAUAAUUAAUUUUUAAUUAUUCAAUAUAUAUUUAUUAUUUCAUAAUAUGUUAUAAACAUAUAAUAUAUAAAAUCAUUUAUAUAUAUAAUGUUCAUCCCGCGCAAGACGCGGGUCUUAACCUAGUUUAGUAUUAUAACUAUUACAAGUUAUGAGCUACUUAGUUGUGAGCAAGGAGUACACUGUUAAUGCUAACGUCGAUAAACGAAGAAGGGAAACAAUACUAUAUAGUGGGUCCCAUUGGUAACUGAACACGGUAGUUAAACUGUAAGUCUGUCUGGGUUUAAAAAAGCGUGCUAAGGCGUCGCUAAGGCGUCAGGCGACCUUGGUUGGGAGGGUCACCGCCUCGAGGAGGUGAAGCAAGGCGAAUUCGAGUAAGCGUUGCUUCAACCUCGCUUCAAGCCACAUUUCACGCCUCACGCCUUAUCACACUUCAUCGCUUAUGCAACUAAAGGUAAGAUUCCUAUCACAAGUUAUUAACAUAUAAUAUUCACUUUCUUUUAAUGGUUUCCAAAACUUCAAUUCACUUCAAACUAUUUAGUGUCUUUACAUUUUUGAAUAGAUAUUUUCAUGCGUGAAUCUUAUCCAAGUCUAUAUUCUUUUUUUCUGGUUCUAUAAAUCUUUUGUUUCUAAAGCUUUGAAGACUUAGGUUUAUGUUUAGUUUCUUUUAAUUAUUUGUUGGUUUGAUUCUCUUUUUUUGAAGACUUUAUUGGAUCAAUUCUCUGUUUUAUUCUCUGUUUAUGAAUACUUAUUAACUCAAGUCUGUAACCAUGAAUUUAACACGGCCAUAUGAAAUAUGAUAAUCAAUGUUUUAGAUCCAGAGUAAAAGAUGAAUUCAUAAACCAUGCUAUUUAUUGUCUACCCACUUUUUAAACUUAGGUAUUAGCAGCAAUACCUUCUUACCCAAUGGUAUUCCCUAUUUUAUGUGUAUAUAUCCAGAAAUAGAUAGAACACUUACUUAUAGAUAAUUUUGUAUAUCUGAAAAGCGUAAAAUGAUAAAUUGUUCAGAGGAAUUAACGGGCAUUUCGUAGACACUAUUAGGCAUGCGGAAAUAGAAGACCAAGCUUGCUUUGAGGCUAAUAUCAAAAAAAGGUGAAGGAACCUGAGGAACGACAUAGUCCAUCAUCUAUCCGAGCCAUAAGCUUACAAGAAAUUUGUAUGCUUGAUAAAUCAUGGACUCAUGAAUAACUCUUUAUUGGUUUUGGAUGGGCUUAGACAAAUUCGUCAUGACAAAUUCAACUUUUAGGAGCUAAAAAUCAGACGAGAAGUGUGUUACCGAUAUAUUUAGAGCUUAUGGCCAUUUCUUGGGCUACCGAAUGCAUGUUACAAAUGUCGAUGUGCCAACACUUUAGUACAUAUUGCAAGGACCUCGUCUCGAUGAUACAAAAUCUAACUUUUCAAUGGAGAUAAAAGAACUUUCAAGAUUGAUGAGUAGAUUUUUGUAGAUUUAUCAAUUGUUUAUCACCCUUGUUCUAAAAAAAAAUAAGCAGACUCAUUAGCUAAGAUAGCAAAAACAUAUCACAGAGAUUUGUAUUUUAUUGGUUCUUAUAUUUUGCUAUAGUUACCUAGACCACCUUAAAUUUAAGUACUAGAUCAGCCGUUUGAAAUUAAAAAUGGUUGUUAAACUGUUAAAAUGAAAAAAGUGAAUUGGUACAAAAAAAAAACUAAUAGAGUAGAAACUCUAUAAAUUAAUACUCAAUAAAUUAAUAGACACGGGUAAAUUAAUAUUUUUUCAAUCCCGAAUUGAACUGAUUCAAAAUACGAUACAAAUCAAUAGAGUAAUAAGAUAAUAUUUUUAAAAAAAAAAUCUUAUGUAAAAAUAUGGUCCUAUUAAAAGCAUAAAUUUAUAUAUAUAUAUAUAUAUAUAUAUAUAUAUAUAUAUUCAUAUAAAUAAAAACAAAAGAUAAUAUUGUUUAAUUUAUAUUAACAAUAGAAUUCAUCUCUAUUUUUUCUUAACCUUCAAUAUAUUUUUGAUAAUAUUUAGUAAAAUAUAUCUAAAAACAUUUAGACAAUAGAAAAACAAUAGAACAAUAGAAAAAUCAAUUUUCUAAAAUUUAAUUAAUAUAUAAACAGUAAGAUCUAGAAAGGAAAGUUUUAUAAAUCAAUAACUCUACAUAUUAAUAACUCUAUAAAAUAAUAAAAUAUCCUAAUAUUAACAUUAUUAAUUUAUGGAGUUUUUCUUGUAUCAUGAGAUACACGACAUACUAAAUAUAUUAUGGUCUUAUAUAAUAUUUAUCAUUUAAAUAUAUACAGUAUAUGUUUUUACUAAAUAUAUAAUAAUAAAAUAGUUAUAGUAUAUUUUAUAAUAAUUUUAGAUCUUUAAUAUAUAAAUAUAAUUACUUUUCACAUUUUUCAUACUAACCACAAACAUUAAUACUCUCACCAAUAUGAAUAACCUGACACACUAAAAUAACCAUUUAUUUGGUAAAUUCUCAACAACAAAAAACUAUUAUAGCUUACUCCAUCACGUCUAAGGUUUGUCUGGUUCAAACGCAGCGGUUGCGGAAGUUUGCAAAUGCGGGUGGUUACGGUUUUUAGCGGUUUUAAGAGAUUUGUACGAUUGGUUCUGCGGUUAGAAAUUUGUGCGUUUGCGGGAUAGUUAUGAUUGGUUAAUUACCAAAUGCAGCAGCGGUUAAAUAAUAAAUUAACAAUAUUUACAUUUUAUAUAAUUAUAAAAAUAUCAAAAAUCAUAACAUUAUAUUAAAUAUAAAAAUUAUAUUUAGAAAGUUAUAGUUUUAAAUUUUAAAUAAAAUAUAAUAGAUAUAUUUUAGUAUUUUUAUAAUUCCAAUUUAAAAUAUUUAUUGAAUAUUUUUAUUUUGUAUUUAUAUUGUUUUAAAAAAAAACAUUUCCUCCCGUAACUGCCUGCAACCGCAGCUGGAACCAGCUUUUAAACUUAUGAGGUUUAAAAUGGUUUGAAGCGGUUUAUAGCGGUUUGAGUAAGCUUCAUAAAUUAAUAUAUAUAUAUAUAUAUAUAUAUAUUCAUAUAAAUAAAAACAAAAGAUAAUAUUGUUUAAUUUAUAUUAACAAUAGAAUUCAUCUCUAUUUUUUCUUAACCUUCAAUAUAUUUUUGAUAAUAUUUAGUAAAAUAUAUCUAAAAACAUUUAGACAAUAGAAAAACAAUAGAACAAUAGAAAAAUCAAUUUUCUAAAAUUUAAUUAAUAUAUAAACAGUAAGAUCUAGAAAGGAAAGUUUUAUAAAUCAAUAACUCUACAUAUUAAUAACUCUAUAAAAUAAUAAAAUAUCCUAAUAUUAACAUUAUUAAUUUAUGGAGUUUUUCUUGUAUCAUGAGAUACACGACAUACUAAAUAUAUUAUGGUCUUAUAUAAUAUUUAUCAUUUAAAUAUAUACAGUAUAUGUUUUUACUAAAUAUAUAAUAAUAAAAUAGUUAUAGUAUAUUUUAUAAUAAUUUUAGAUCUUUAAUAUAUAAAUAUAAUUACUUUUCACAUUUUUCAUACUAACCACAAACAUUAAUACUCUCACCAAUAUGAAUAACCUGACACACUAAAAUAACCAUUUAUUUGGUAAAUUCUCAACAACAAAAAACUAUUAUAGCUUACUCCAUCACGUCUAAGGUUUGUCUGGUUCAAACGCAGCGGUUGCGGAAGUUUGCAAAUGCGGGUGGUUACGGUUUUUAGCGGUUUUAAGAGAUUUGUACGAUUGGUUCUGCGGUUAGAAAUUUGUGCGUUUGCGGGAUAGUUAUGAUUGGUUAAUUACCAAAUGCAGCAGCGGUUAAAUAAUAAAUUAACAAUAUUUACAUUUUAUAUAAUUAUAAAAAUAUCAAAAAUCAUAACAUUAUAUUAAAUAUAAAAAUUAUAUUUAGAAAGUUAUAGUUUUAAAUUUUAAAUAAAAUAUAAUAGAUAUAUUUUAGUAUUUUUAUAAUUCCAAUUUAAAAUAUUUAUUGAAUAUUUUUAUUUUGUAUUUAUAUUGUUUUAAAAAAAAACAUUUCCUCCCGUAACUGCCUGCAACCGCAGCUGGAACCAGCUUUUAAACUUAUGAGGUUUAAAAUGGUUUGAAGCGGUUUAUAGCGGUUUGAGUAAUUAUUUCAAAACGCCAACAACCGCUACCAACCGCAAAAAUUUGCAUUUACGGGUGGUACUGGGGAAACCGGUCAUACUCUGGCCCAGUUUACAAGACCUGGGGAAACUACUUAUCAUGUUAUCUUAGAACUUCUCCCAACACUACAAAUGUGGUUCUUUCGAUCGAACCAUAUUUUUAACGCUGAUUUAUUAUGAUAUUACAAUUAUAAAAAAAAGUUACAUAAAUGAUUUUACAGCCGACAAUACUAUAUGUUUUAUGAGAAUCUAUGUCUAAGUGUUUUACCUGAGUCGUUUUAUAAAAAUUCACACAUGGUCGAGUUUACUGCAAAAUUGUGAAGAUCUCUUUUAAACCUUUUUUUCUUAGUUGUUUAAUAUAUUAUUCUUUCGGGAAUUGAAUUUAGAUCUACUGGUGUAAAAGCGUUAAUGAAUCAUUAGUCAAACUAGUGGACUAAGAGGCUUCCACCGGUAAAACCAUCUUGUCCUACUUUUUAUAAAUUUGUAGAGUUAAUACCAAUAUGAAUUACCUUUUUAAAGAGAAAAUUAAUAUUAAUUAGCUGUGUGAUGAGAGAUACUUUUAUUUAUAUAUAAUUUAAUUUAUUUCAAAUGCAUGCAAUAAUAAACUAUUCAAAAGUAUGUGUAGUUUGGCUUUUUUAGCUUAGGUUUUCAUUUUUUUCUUAACAAAUAUAUUAUAUUUAUGAAAAAUAGUGUUUACGGUGGAGAUUUGUUUUUCCUAUUUUCUGAGAGUCAAAAACAUGGAACCGCUAUAUUUGGAAAAAUAUAUUAUAUACUAUUUCUAUUGGUUUUCCUAGGAUUUUGAUGUAGCCGCUCUAUACCUUUUUGAAGAAAAUGUUUUUUGAAAUUUCUUCAGAACAAGUAUAAAUACUGAUAAGGUGAUUGACGCAAUGUCAUUGCAGGAGAAGGGAAUUCCUUUUAACCUACCAGACAAUGCCCUAAUGCAGAGCAAAAGGUACAAGAUCUGUAUCAUGGGUAAAACCUUAAAUCCAGAGAGCCAGAAGAUUAGUCAUCUGAUUAUGGACAAGCCAAGGAAGUGACGAGUUUAUGACAGAGUAAGAGAGAUUGGAAGUUCACUAGGAGGAAUUGAGCUUCAUACUGUUUUUUUUUUCCUCAGGGUUGAGAAUGCUUAAUGUAGGUGGCCUAUAUGAUCUUCUACUUCCAGAAAGUUGACGAGCAUAUCGUUCAUGUAAACUUCUAUGGUCUGUCUGGUCUGUUGUGCAAACAACAUGUUUAUCUGUUUACAAUAAGUGGAGCAGGCAUUCUUUAAGCGAAAAGUCAUGACCUUGCAGUAAUAGAUUGCCUUCUGACAUCAUGAAGAAAGUUUUCUCAUGAUCGUCUGGAUACUUGAGUAUUUAGUUUUAUCGGGAAAAAGCGUCUAUGAAGAUAUCAGCUAGUAUUAUAUUGUUACGUCAUACUGUUGCGUCGACUAUGUGAGACAAAUAUUGCUUGUAAUACUUUUUCAUAUAUGUUUUAUUAUAUAUAGUUUUGUAAUUCUUAUUAACUUCAAACAAUCUUAAGGACUAUAAUUGCAAAUAAUUUCUUUUUUAAGAAAAUAUUUUUUUUAUCAUUGGUGAAAGUCACCCUUAAACCUCAAAUUUAAAGUUAACUAAACUUUAAAAGUAACAUUGCUCUUAGAAAUGCUCUAAAAGUAACAUUGCUCUUAGAAAUGCUCUUAGUCAAAUAGAGUAAGUUUUGGGUUUGAAAGUUUGGAAAAACUUAGGGUAUCCUAUUGGUAAUUACUCAUUUAUUAACUUCUGUAACAGUAACCAAUUGAGGCAAGGACAGAAAAACCAGAAGAAAUGAGCAUUGCGUUGUCAUCGAUCUCAUGCUUCGUCUUCUAAAGAAUAAUAUUUUAUGUUAACUUGACGAUUGUUUCUUUUCCUCUAUAUCUAAUUAUCUACUGUAGUUAAACAAUACGGCCAAUCUCUUUAAUUGACUUGAUCUAAUAAAUGAUUCUAGCCUUUAACUUGAGGCAAUCUAAAUAGAAUAAGAAAAACCAGAAGAAAUGAGCAUUGCGUCUUCAUUCUUCUCAUUCUUUGCCUUGCAGACAAAACACGACCUCUAUAUGAACGGAAUAUGCCUGGCUUAAUUGCUUCAUUCAACCUUCAAAGAUUAUCUAUAAAUGUGCAAGUAUUUAUGUCUGGUGUAUAACAGUUACUUCUUCGAAUCAUGUCAUUGAGUGUGCCAAUAAGACGGACCGAUGGUGCACCCAAUGGCGCAUUCAGGACUUUUGGCCUCUACUGGUGCUACCACUGUCAUCGUACGGUCAGGAUUGCAUCAUCAAACCCAUCAGAGAUCGCGUGCCCUCGAUGCUUAAGGCAAUUCGUUGUGGAGAUCGAGAUGAGACGGCCUCGGGUGACUUUCACUCAUGCCGCUCCACCUUUAGAUGCUUCUCCUGAGACACGCCUUCUCGAAGCUCUGUCCCUCAUGUUUGAUCCUCCAAUCAUAGGUAGAUUCGGUGAAGACCCAUUUCUCAGGGCAAGGUCCAGAAACGUGGAACACGAACCAACAACACCCCUACCGCACCAUCGUCGACGCCACAGCCUUGACAAUAAUAACGAUGGCAGUUUACCUCCACCAAGAAGAACAUAUGUAAUACUACGGCCCACUGAUCCAACCAGUCCACUUGGAAACAGGAUUGAGCCAGCACCACGCAGGCGUAUGAACCCACAUGAUUUCUUUACUGGAGGAUCAGGUUUAGAACAGCUGAUCGAACAGCUAACGCAAGACGAUAGGCCUGGACCACCACCUGCACCAGAACCCACCAUCGACGCCCUACCGACGGUAACGAUCACAUCAAAACAUCUAACCAACGACACGUCCCAAUGCACGGUGUGCAUGGAGGACUUCGUUCCUGGCGGGGAAGCUACCGAACUACCAUGUAAACAUAUAUACCAUAAAAACUGUAUAACUCCAUGGCUAAGGCUUCACAAUUCAUGCCCAAUCUGCCGCCGUGAUCUGCCUCCUCCGGUCAACAACACCGUUACAGAUUCUCAGGAAAGGAGCGAUUCUACUAGAGAAGAGAUACCUGAAAGAAGGCGCCCUAGAUGGAUGCAGUUCUGGAACAUUGGGCCUUUUAGAGCAAGGUAUCAGAGGGUUAGUCCAGAAGAAACAGCGCACAGGAAUACUCGAGGUAACAGGAGCUAAAAAAAAAAAAACUGAAUAUUUCAGGGGAAACAAAAAAAAAGUGUAUCAUUUGCUAAGAACAUAUGUAUAGAAGCUGUCCGAAAAAUAAUAAUAAUAAUAAUAAACUCUGGCUAACGUUUCACCUUUCAUGCUAGGGGUAACAGAACUAUUUAAAUGAGAAAGACAACUAAACUUAUAUCUCUGAUUCUUCCUGCAGCUCAGUUGCAGUGGCGUCACUGUAAUAUCCUAUAGCUUCUUGGACUCGUCCAUUACCCAGAGGAAAGAAAAUGCAGUGAGCAAUUGAGGAAAUGUAGAACAUAACACUAAAACAUAUAUUAAUGACUGGUUUUUAAAUGCACAGAAGCUUGCUAGAGAUUUCACACAUGGCAUGUCCCAUCUGUUAUCUGCAAAUUCAAAGGAAUAAUACCAAAUAACAACCACUACUUUGGAUUCCAAAGUAACAAGUUCCAAUCAGAAUAUAAAAUUCAACAAACAUAAUACGCAAAUUUCGCAUCGCUGCAAAAACUAGCUUAUAGGAGAGUAGGAAACCCAAAUAAAAGUUGAGUAGAUUCAACAAAAAGAGAUGACUCUAUUUGCAGUAGCGGUCGGCCUUCUUCUUGACCCGAUCGUCGAGAGCCUCCGCCACCGAAUCGAAGUUCGAUUUAGGAACGUAACCGAACUUCUUCGCCUCCACGGGGAAAAGCUCAUCGUACUUCCUCUUCUUCGCGGCGUCGAUUGAAUAGAUAUCGUUGUCUUUACCAUCUGCUGCGGCGGAGGAAGUGGCCGGACCGUCGUCGGGAGUCAUCUUUUCAACAUUGGGGGCGGCGCCGUCGUCGAGCUUAUCCUUGUUCUUCUUCUUCUUCUUUGGCUUCUUCUUUUUGAUGGUGGCUAGAUCGCCUCCUUUAAACGCUAACCUUCCACCCUUCGCCCUCUCGUAAGGAUCCGACAUCGCUUAGAUUCGGCACCGCUAUUCUCUCUCUCUCUCUCUCUACGGAGUUUUUUCUUUGUUAACUAAAAGCAGAAGGCCGCCCUUGUUUUAUAUUUUGUUCAGAGCCGCGGCUCUUAUUAAUUAUUAUCACUAGGGAUAUAUAGGAUAUCCGAAUCCAGAUCCAGCAAACAUUAACCCAGAGGCCCGAACCCAUGUUUGGAUACUUGCUAGACAUUCCUCCUUUGUUUGGGCUGGGUUUAGCCCUAAUAAAAGAAAAACGCAGAUUAUAUAAACUAACCGACGAUUUCUUUAGUACAUUUUUAAAACUCUAUAAAUUAAUAUUCCCUCCAUCUCAAAAAGAUAAAUAUUUUUUAAAAAAAUAUUUCAGUUAGUACAUUUUUUUAUAUUUUCAAUGCGUAAAUUAAUUGUAAAUUGUAAAUUGUAAAUUGUAAACUUCAAAAAACAAAAUUGUGUUUACUAAAGUUUUAUUGGUUACAAGUUGUGGGGAAUAAUUAAUUACAGAAAUUAAUAUAUUGGUAAUUUAAAUCUGAUAUGUUUUCUUAACAAGUGUGAAAAUAUUAAAAUAUACAUCUUUCUGAAACAUAAUACUAGAUAAGUUAAUAAAUUUUACCAGUUUUGAGUUACAUCAAUGUAAAAUAUAACACAAUUCAGUAAGAUAAUAAGAAAAUAUUUUUUAAGAAACUUUAUAUAAAUAUAUGGUCCUAAGAAAAACAAAAAUGAUAUUGUAUAGUUUUUUAUUCCCAAAGAAGUUUAUAUGUAAUUUUUCUUAUUUUUUCUAAAUAUAUUGAUGUUAUUUUAUCAUUUUGCACGUAAAAUCUAUUCAUAUUUAUUAUAUCUAUUUUAAUACACUAAAUAAUCGAAUAAGAACAACUCAAAAAUGGUAUAUAUAAAAUUUAGUCAAUAUAUUUAAAUUCUAGUGUUGACAAGUCAUACUAGAAUCAUUUAAUUAAUUAUUUACAUUAAUCAAUCAAAUAUUAAUAUAUUUUUGUUAGAGAAAUAAAUAAUAUUCAUAGAAAGUAUUAAUUAUAAAUAAGAAUAUAAAUAAUAAAUUAAUUUUAACUAUAAAUUUGAAUUUUGUUUUUAGUUAUGACAAAAUAUGUUGAGAAAAAAUCUAAUAAAAUCCUACUGAAAUUUCAAAAAUAUUUUUUAGAAAAUAGUGCAUUAAUUAAUUCUGUAAUUAGUAAUAUAAUAUUAUUAUAAAUUAAUAUUAAUUAAUUUUUAAUAUAAAAAUCUAUGCUAUUUGAUAAAUUAUAAUUGUAGAUUAUAUUAUCUUAAAAUAGAAUUACUAUAUAAAUUAAAUAUGACAAAAUUCUGUUAAAAUUGGUAAAUCAACAGAAUUCACCAAUUUAACAGAAUUGUUUUAACUCCACUGCCUGCCAUAACUGUCUUAUUUCGAAAAUGAUUUGAAUUUUUUAGAGAAUAUAUAAGGAAAUCUCCAAUCUUAUCAUCAUGCUUAUCUUAGGUAUGGUGCGUCCACAAACGCGUCUAUCAUAGAAUUCAAGUGUGUCAACUGUCAUCCUCUCUUCAGGGAUUAACUAUCCGUGUGAGUGAGAGAUUUACAUGCAUACGUUUUUUCUAGAAAAUCACUUUGAUAAGUGGAAAGUUUCGUUAACUUUUCAAAACAAUUAUAACAUCCAUAUGCCUCCGAAAAAGAAGAAAAAAACUCGUAAUCUCCUCCGGGGCUCUUCGAAGAUGGCCCGUCUCCAAGGAGCGUUGAAACCCUCCACUUCGGUCCGGUCGUUACAACAGUCGUCUCUCGCCGGCGCUUCAAGCGCUGAUGCUGUAAUUGCUGCUUCGGUGGCACCCACGACUGAGGUUUCGCCGUCGACCCCUGAGGUCUCUGUAGAUCUGAGUUUGGGUCACCUACCACUACCGCUAGCUCCUGUUCUUGAGUUUGGCAAUUCAUCACCUCUCACGCCAUGUGAGCUUGACGUUACCCCUACAGUAUCGGAGGAGGUAACUCCUGACGCUACAAUAGAGGUUUCCCUUCCAAUCCAGGAAGUGGUUAGUAGAGACAUCCCUCAUGGAGCCCUGCAGAAGGCUGCUACCCUAGGGGAGUACUCUGGAACUAAGAGCUACGCCAGUUUAGUCAAGGACUNNNNNNNNNNNNNNNNNNNNNNNNNNNNNNNNNNNNNNNNNNNNNNNNNNNNNNNNNNNNNNNNNNNNNNNNNNNNNNNNNNNNNNNNNNNNNNNNNNNNUCCCCGCUCCCUCUCUCCCCGCUCUCUCUCUCUCCCCGCUCUCUCUCUCCCCGCUCUCUCUCCUCUCUCUCUCUCCCCUCUCUCUCUCUCCUCUCUGCUCUCUCUCUAUCUCUCUCUAUCUAUAUAUAUAUAUAUAUAAUAUGAUAAAAAUAUAUAUACAAAAUUACUCUAAAAAAAUCUAUAAAAAAAAAGGAAAAAACGAAGAGAUUUGGUAAAACUUUCAUAGUUCCUAAUCGGCAAAAGAAGAAGAUGCCUGGGAAUGAUCGUCGACCUCUUGUUGUCUCUGGCAACAAGCUCUUAACACCUGAAUCACAGAUCUUAGAAAUCAGACAAUGAUUUUCGCUAAACAAAAAUCAGAUCUGAAUAUAGAGACUUUUACUUCUUCAGCAGCGUGGAGGACGGCGGCCAUGUAAACCGGGAGCUCCACCACCAAGUCUUUGAGCCUUUCUUCAGGAAACGAGUGAUUGGGCUCUGAUCGAUUUCGAAACCGGUUUGGUCUCUGUGCCACCGGCUGGUUCUUCCUCUGAAACCAUUCUUCACUAUUUCCGGCGGUGAAGAGAUUACAACAGAGAGAGAGAGAGAGAGAGAGAGAGUGGAAGGAGGUUUGUAUUUUGACAUUAGCGGUCUUCUUCGGACAUGGAUGUAAUCGGAGAAGAAAGAAGGUUUGUUGUCUGAUUAUAGAUAGUGUUUUUGAGUUUGGUUUGGUUUGUUGUCUGAUUUAAAGUGUUUUUGAGUUGGUGUGUUGUAAUAUUUAUAGAGAAGCUAGCGACUUUCGUAACGGCUAUAUUUCUCUUAAAGGUUUGAGUCGGGUCUCGAUCGCCACAAAACGCGUGCGUUUUCUCCUAACGGUAAUAAUGUUGGAAUCGAACCGGUCUUGCAACCACCACCUAAACCGGUCUUCUUUAACGACUCUCCAGGCCCAAAUUCAAAGCCUUUGGCCCAACAAGUUAGAUACAGCCAUUGGGAGGCGGUGGAGGCUACAGACUAUACCAACAAUGAACUUGGGGGAGGAGUAAAGAUUCGAACUUUUUUCCUCUUUCUCCACAUCUUUGGAAAGAAACAGAGAAUGGAUCCAAUAGAGGAGGAGGAGAAGAAGGUGAGAGAGAGAAUCAGAAACAAAGUCAACCAAGUCAGUUCUGUCUCGCAGUCUCUUCUCUCUCCAUUACAAGACCACAUCAACUUCACCCUUCAGGUUACUUUUUAACUCUUUCUUUGUCGGAACAAAGUUAGUUUUCACAUACCCUUUUACUCUGUUUUUCUCCCCUGUAGUUGCUAAACGGUUAAAGUUAGAUUCUUUGUGUAUAUUUUGUUAGUUCUGAGAUUAUGUAAAAAGUGUGUUUUUUUGGGAUUGGUGCAGAAAGCUUACUUCAAAUGUGCGUACGAGUGCUUUGAUAGGACAAGAACACACGCUGAGAUUAGCCAAUGCGCAGAGACUUGCAGUGCUCCCAUCACAAACGCUCAGAAUCAUUUUGAUAAUGAGAUGUCUGUGUUCCAAGUAAAUCUCUUAUAUUCAUUCUAAUAAUUGCAUAAGGAUUAGUGAUUGAAAGUCUGAAACUUUCAAUGAAGAUAGUGUUGGUUGUUGUCUCUUGUUGAUAAUCACUUAACUGAUGAAUGUAGGAGAUGUUGAAUAGAUCACUUGUGGCUUGUCAAGAUAAGUUUGAGGCUGCGAAGCUCCAGAGGACGAGGAAUGAAGCUGUAGUUGGUUUGGAGCAGUGCGUGAACCAAACCGUUGACGACGCUGUGAAGACGCUGCCUAGUCUCGUGUCAAAGAUGAAGAAGGCUUUGUCUGUAUCAGACUGAGAAGCUCUGCAGAUUCUAUUAUUUUUAUCGUGACCAAGAAAGACUUUCCGAUUCUAUUAUUUUUAUCUGUUAUUGAUAUUUUUGAACUCAACUCGGCCAAAAUGCAAUACCAACUUCUUCAGAUUCUUUUUAUAUCUAGCAAAGAAAUGAGAUUAUUGUUGAGACAAAUGAGUCCAGGUUAAACUAUUCUCGACGAAUCCAAACUGUAUGGCUGUUGCUGAAUAAUUGUCAAGUGAGACAAUGAUGAGCGAGAUUGCGGUGCGGCCUGUCUCAUCCCAUUCAUCUUCUCUCAAAUAACUCGGGUCGCCAAGCGGUCCCAUUCUCAUCCUCCCCAUGUAUCUGAACUAAGGCCUUUAAGAAAAAAAGAUGUUAGAGAGGAGAUAUAUAAAUAGGGUAAACUUUGUGGAGAUUAAACAAGGUUCCGAUGAGUUUUUUUUGUGUGGGAAGCAAGCAAAUAAAAGUCAAACUGGAUUUAAAUAAGCCUGGAGAAUUGUGCUUAAAAUGACUCUUCCUUUGGAACUAGAACACUGUUACAGUUUCCUAUGUAGGUCUGGUAUGUAAUAAACACAACUUUUAGUGUCUUUCUUGGUCUGUAUAAACGAGCCAAGUUCUUGGGAAUUGAGAUUAAGAAAAAAUAAUAAACAAAGGGUUCCCAUUGUGCCCGUGAGGCUCAAGUCUUGAGUAUGUAACUUUGUAUCAAUUUCAAUCAGCUUUUGGUCUUCAGUUUGUCCUAUUACACCAUGCCAAGAUAACUUGCAGUGCAAGGUGCUGUGUUGGUGACAACAUAUGUAUGUAUUGAUUUGAAUAAUAUGUUCUCCUACUAAAAGAUUUAGUUCACAACUGAUGUAUGUAUUCUAAGAUUGAUUUCUCUUUAUAGAUGUCAUUCUAACUUCAUAAUUGAUAAGAAUAAAACUAGUAUUCUCAACUAUAUAUUGUGCCUUGCCACAAUAUGAAGCUUCUGAUUCUAUCACAAAUGCACAGAACUAUUUCAAUAACGAGGUGUUUGUGUUUCAAAUCAGUCUAUAUGCUACGUUUAGAGUUAAUAAAAAAGUAAAUUUGAAAACUUAAAUGAAUACUGAAAUAUUAGUGAUUGAUGUUUGAAACUUUGGUUUUAAACGAGUUUAUGAAGUUACCAUGUGUUGUCUCUUGGAUAAUUGAUAUAAGAAUAAUUGCUUAGUUUAAUUACUACAUAUCGGUAGACCAUAUUCAAGUUUUUGAAUUUUUUUACUUAAAACAUGUAGGAGAGGUUGAAUAAAUCUGUACAUUAGCGGUCUUCUUCGGACAUGGAUGUAAUCGGAGAAGAAAGAAGGUUUGUUGUCUGAUUAUAGAUAGUGUUUUUGAGUUUGGUUUGGUUUGUUGUCUGAUUUAAAGUGUUUUUGAGUUGGUGUGUUGUAAUAUUUAUAGAGAAGCUAGCGACUUUCGUAACGGCUAUAUUUCUCUUAAAGGUUUGAGUCGGGUCUCGAUCGCCACAAAACGCGUGCGUUUUCUCCUAACGGUAAUAAUGUUGGAAUCGAACCGGUCUUGCAACCACCACCUAAACCGGUCUUCUUUAACGACUCUCCAGGCCCAAAUUCAAAGCCUUUGGCCCAACAAGUUAGAUACAGCCAUUGGGAGGCGGUGGAGGCUACAGACUAUACCAACAAUGAACUUGGGGGAGGAGUAAAGAUUCGAACUUUUUUCCUCUUUCUCCACAUCUUUGGAAAGAAACAGAGAAUGGAUCCAAUAGAGGAGGAGGAGAAGAAGGUGAGAGAGAGAAUCAGAAACAAAGUCAACCAAGUCAGUUCUGUCUCGCAGUCUCUUCUCUCUCCAUUACAAGACCACAUCAACUUCACCCUUCAGGUUACUUUUUAACUCUUUCUUUGUCGGAACAAAGUUAGUUUUCACAUACCCUUUUACUCUGUUUUUCUCCCCUGUAGUUGCUAAACGGUUAAAGUUAGAUUCUUUGUGUAUAUUUUGUUAGUUCUGAGAUUAUGUAAAAAGUGUGUUUUUUUGGGAUUGGUGCAGAAAGCUUACUUCAAAUGUGCGUACGAGUGCUUUGAUAGGACAAGAACACACGCUGAGAUUAGCCAAUGCGCAGAGACUUGCAGUGCUCCCAUCACAAACGCUCAGAAUCAUUUUGAUAAUGAGAUGUCUGUGUUCCAAGUAAAUCUCUUAUAUUCAUUCUAAUAAUUGCAUAAGGAUUAGUGAUUGAAAGUCUGAAACUUUCAAUGAAGAUAGUGUUGGUUGUUGUCUCUUGUUGAUAAUCACUUAACUGAUGAAUGUAGGAGAUGUUGAAUAGAUCACUUGUGGCUUGUCAAGAUAAGUUUGAGGCUGCGAAGCUCCAGAGGACGAGGAAUGAAGCUGUAGUUGGUUUGGAGCAGUGUGUGAACCAAACCGUUGACGACGCUGUGAAGACGCUGCCUAGUCUCGUGUCAAAGAUGAAGAAGGCUUUGUCUGUAUCAGACUGAGAAGCUCUGCAGAUUCUACUAUUAUUUUUAUCGUGACCAAGAAAGACUUUCUGAUUCUAUUAUUGAUAUUUUUGAACUCAACUCGGCCACAAUGCAAUAUCAACUUCUUCAGAUUAUUUUUAUUUCAGCUCUUAUUAAACUCUUGAAACACAAUACAUCAUAAAAUUCAUAUCUAGCAAAGAAAUGAGAUUAUUGUUGAGACAAAUGAGUCCAGGUUAAACUAGAGUACUAAAAAAAUCUCACUACUCCUCAUAUUUAUCCUAUUCACACCACGUAAGAUGUAUCUCGCAUAGAAAUUAAUUGAGACCAAACGAUAAGCAUCAUAAUAUCCAAAGAAGCCAUCAAAUUCAUUGCGAUCAAGUACGUAGCUUGUAGUUCAAAGCACAGGAACAAAAACUUACGUGGUGUCUCAUGAGAAUCAAGCAUAGCAAAAGUCUGAAAUUACAUUGAAGAAACCUCAAGUCAUGCAUGAGCUAAGGAUGGGUCACUUACUCUUUGCUUUUGCGAGAAUAUCAUUUUACAAUUCCAUGCAUAAGUCUAAGAGGUUUUAAAGAAGCAAGUCAAGGUGCAUGGUUAUAAGCAUAUGCCGUAGUGAACAAUCAUUCAACCAAAACAAUUAGGUUAAACUGAAAACUGAUUUUUAUUAAAAAAAUGAAAAAGAUGAAAAACUCAUCCAUUAAAGUACGUAGCUUGUAGUUCAAAGCACAGGAACAAAAACUCAACAGUACCAAACGUCUUAGCAUGAAAGCAAACUAAAAAUAUUAAUCAAAGGUUAAUAAGGAACUGAAUAGCUUUAUUAAUCUUGGAGAGUAUACGGUCUUUGAGUUUGGACUUACAACGUCGGCUAGGCUUGACAGGAAAACCGUCGACAAUCUUCGGGGUUUGGUAAUGAAGUCUCGUGGUUGUAUGAUCCAGUGGUUCCAAAGGAAUGAGCUGGUGAUCAUAGGUAGCUCCAAACCUGGUUCUAGGGACUGCGUCAAUGCUGCUUCUAUUGUGAGAGACAUACAUGCCGAUUGAUCUAAGAUAGCAAUAUUUUUUCUCGGCGAAAGACCCAAAUAAACCACCAAACUCACUACGAUCACGUACCCCCACAUCAAUUUCUCUCUUGCAGUCUUUAAGAUGCUCAAAUUUCUUACAAAACGGUCCAUGCUUCCUCUUGUUGGUGUGAAAUGUCAAAGACGUGAUUCUAUGUUGAUAAUGGACUCCACUCAACGCUGUCACAUAUUCAUCGUGUUCCAGUCUCACCUGUAUAUAAGUUGCUUUAACUUCGUCAGAAUACAAAAAAAAAUCUGCGUAUUGUUAACAAGAUCCUACUAAAACUUACUCUUUUGAUGUGUUGACCACCGGAGUAACCGUGCUUUUGAGACUCGACAUGAGCUCCUUCAUGAAAAUAUAUAAACUGGAGAGAUUGUAUGCCAUAGUCGUCGAAAGUAACAUAUAUAUUAGAGAUCAUGUUUUUUCCCAUCUCGUCCCAACUCCUAUCGGUACUAAGACGAGUUGACCCCAUUGGUUCCAGUUUGAACAUCUCUGAAUACCUUUUUGUUUGAUAGUGGUAAAAUAAAUUGUUCUUGUGGGGGGGGGAUACAUAUUUAUAUACUUAUAGGUAAAAAGGCUUACAUAAUUUCUAUAAGAAAACUUCCCAAAUAAAAAAAAAAUGUAUAAAAAACUUCAGAAGAGUAAGUUUACUAAAUUUAAGAUCUAAACCAAAAAUGUAAUCUAAGUCAUUUCCUAAUCUCUUCUUGUUCAACUUUUUAAUUUAUUGUAAUGUAUUUUUUUUCGCUUUUUAUUCGUACCUUCCUCUUUACUUUUGAUUACAUAUAUUCGAAAGUAUUUUUAAUUUUCCUUUUUUCUGCGAGGUUCUUUGCAAACAAGCCAAUACGCCGAUUCUUUAGAAGAUUUGUGGGGAGCAAGCAAAGAAAAAGGUCUAAGUAAAUUCAAGAAUUAACCCUCGAGAGACUCUUCUGUUUAUGUAAAAAAAAAAAAAAAUCCAUAAAGAGAGUUUGUGAAACAAGAAAACUCUAUUAAGGGAAUCAUAUAAAAGAGUCAAGUAGAAAUCUAACUAAUAGCCAUGUCAUGAUCUGGAUUAUUGGGGUUUUACGAGUGAAUCUGCUUGCUAGCUCAGUAACCAUGCAGUACACCUUGUUCUAAAAAUUGGUCUAGUGAGCGUUUAUGCGUCUGCUAGGCCUAGGCAAAUCAUUCAUAACCAAAACGAUUUUUGAAAAAUGCUUUUAACAUCUUGAGUAAUAUACUAAUAUGUCAUAUCAUAUGCAUAUGGGUCAAAAACAACACAAAAGAUAAAAAAAUAAAACCCUUUUAAUUAGCUGAGAGUUAAGAAUUAAAAAGACAACAUUAAGACGACUUCCCUCCAGUAAAACUAAGAGUAAACUAAACAACAAAAUCGAAAAGGCUAACUAUUGAGCGUUGCUUGGUUUAUUGUUUUCACGUUUAACCACCGUGCCGGUCAUUGGAGUGGGACUAACGUAGAUACCAAUCGCUGACAAGUAGUGACUAUUGUAAGUCCCAAAGAAACCACUAAACUCACUUCUAUCACUUAUUGCCGGAUCAAUCUCUAUUGUGGAACAGCUUCUACCACAACCAUCGCUUGAACGUCCAAUAGGCCCGUGCUUCCCACGGUUAGUGUGGAACGUCAAAUUUAUUAUUCCUCCCAUCUUUUCCACUACGCCACUCAAUCCAGUUAUAUAUUCAUCUUGAUUCAGUUUCACCUGCAUGUGUUCAAAAAGAAAAUAAAAAAAAACUUCAUUAGAGGCCAAAGGAAAAGUAAAAGAAGGAUUUUUUUUUUAACGGAUACAAAAACUUACAGUUCGAAAGCUUCCUUCAGAGAAACCAAACGUUUCAGACAAGACUAGGGCUCCAUCCUUCAAGUAGCCAAACUGAACACAUGUAAUGAAUUCGCUGAAAGAAACGAAUAUAUGAGAGAUCAUGGUGUGUCCCUUCUCGUCCCAUCGAGAGUCGGAAGAUGGAACUUUCUUUCCCACUAGUCCUGCCCUAAUCAUCUCUCUGGCUAAUUAUUAUAUUGUCUUUGUUUAUCGGAUGAUGAACUAUUCGUAUGAACAUGUCUAUAUUUUUUUUUUGACAUCGAGCAUGUCUAUUUAUAAUUACACCUUGAGAUUUCGUGUUCCUAAUCUUAUCUACAUUAUGAUUAUUUUUUCUCCUAUUCCUUAUGUGUUUUGGCUCUAAACAUGUAAGUAUUCGUAGAAAAGGAAAGUCAUUAUUAUAACUAGUCAUUUUAUUUUAAAUUGAUAAUUCUAUGACUCAAGGAAUAAUUACGCCUUAUUGCAUUUAUUUUAUUAAAUAAACACCAAAUUGCGUUGCACAUUGUAAAAUGCAAAUAUACAGUUUGACAUAGUGAGAGGGAGAAAACAAGAAAGAAAUACAAAGAAGACGUUCCUUGUAGGUCAAGAAACUACGAGAGGAAAUUCAAAUCUCAGGCUGCAUUUUCUCGCACUCUUCUCGGAUCGACUGGAAAAGCAUUGUCGAGAGGUAACGUU
rnacentral:lncRNA from 1 species